AUUGAACGCUGGCGGCAGGCCUAACACAUGCAAGUCGAACGAGCGGCGGACGGGUGAGUAAUGUAUGGGAAACUGCCCGAUGGAGGGGGAUAACUACUGGAAACGGUAGCUAAUACCGCAUACUAUCGGAUGUGCCCAGAUGGGAUUAGCUAGUAGGUGGGGUAAAGGCUCACCUAGGCGACGAUCCCUAGCUGGUCUGAGAGGAUGACCAGCCACACUGGAACUGAGACACGGUCCAGACUCCUACGGGAGGCAGCAGUGGGGAAUAUUGCACAAUGGGCGCAAGCCUGAUGCAGCCAUGCCGCGUGUAUGAAGAAGGCCUUAGGGUUGUAAAGUACUUUCAGCGGGGAGGCGUUACUCGCAGAAGAAGCACCGGCUAACUCCGUGCCAGCAGCCGCGGUAAUUC
rnacentral:rRNA from 1 species